UAUUAGGCUCAACACCUCACUUAUGUGUAGUUUAGAUUCAUUCAUCGCCCUUAUUUUGUCAUUCCAGACAUCAUGUAAUCAAAACACACAUUGUCGAUCACAAGUUCUCAAUUCUUAAGUAGGAAAAGAUCAAGUUAUCACACAUAUUCAAUCUAACAGCAUGCUCCACAACUGAACUUAUCAAUUACUUGGCCAGAAAACUCACAAAACUCAACAUAAACUGACUCAACAAGCAAAGACUCAACGACGCCCCCCCUCACACUUAAAUUUUACUUGCCCUCAAGCAAAACAAAAUAAAGCAUAAGGAAGGGACAACGAAAAACACAUAACAACACUCAA
rnacentral:lncRNA from 1 species